rnacentral:rRNA from 1 species
UUUUUAUGGAGAGUUUGAUCCUGGCUCAGGACGAACGCUGGCGGCGUGCCUAAUACAUGCAAGUCGAGCGAACAGAGAAGGAGCUUGCUCCUUUGACGUUAGCGGCGGACGGGUGAGUAACACGUGGGCAACCUACC